UUUAAAAUUCCCUGCCUAAGUCCAAUUAAAGUGACAUUAGCAACCCUGAAAAUGUCUGUACAGCCAACGGUUUCCCUUGGGGGCUUUGAAAUUACACCACCUGUGGUCUUGAGGUUGAAGUGUGGCUCGGGGCCUGUGCAUAUCAGCGGCCAGCACUUAGUAGCUGUGGAGGAAGACGCCGAGUCAGAAGAUGAGGAGGAAGAUGUGAAACUCUUGAGUGUGUCUGGGAAGCGGUCAGCCCCUGGAGGUGGUAGCAAGGUUCCACAGAAAAAAGUAAAACUUGCUGAUGAAGAUGACGACGAAGAGGAUGAAGAUGAUGACGAUGAGGAGGAUGAUGAUGACGAUGAUUUUGAGGAGGAUGAAGCUGAAGAGAAGGCUCCAGUGAAGAAAUCUAUACGAGAUACUCCAGCCAAAAAUGCACAAAAAUCAAACCAGAAUGGAAAAGACUCAAAACCAUCAACACCAAGAUCAAAAGGUCAAGAAUCCUUCAAAAACAGGAAAAAACUCCUAAAACACCAAAAGGACCUAGUUCUGUAGAAGACAUUAAAGCAAAAAUGCAAGCAAGUAUAGAAAAAGGUGGCUCUCUUCCCAAGGUGGAAGCCAAGUUCAUCAACUAUGUCAAGAACUGCUUCCGGAUGACGGACCAGGAGGCUAUUCAAGAUCUCUGGCAAUAGAGGAAGUCUCUUUAAGAAAAAUAGUUGAAACAGUUUGUUGAAAUUCCGUCUUAUUUCACUUAUGUAAGAGUUGAUAUCUGGCUGUCCUUUUUAUAAUGCAAAGUGAGAACUUUCCUCCCGUGUUUGAUAAAUGUUGUCCAGGUUCCAUUGCCAAGAAUGUGUUGUCCAAAAUGCUUGUUUAGUUUAAAAGAUGGAGCCUCCACCCUUGCUUGGUGUAAGUGUGUAUGGAAUGUUAGCC